rnacentral:rRNA from 1 species
UUAAGUGAUGUUUACUAAACUUAUUUAUUUUAAAUAUUUUUAUAUAAAUCAUUUAUUUGUUGUUGUAUAUGUUAUAAAUUUAAUUAUUAUGUGAUAAUAUAUUAGUACUGUGAAGGAUUAAUGGGAAUAAUAAAUUUUAAAUUAGAAGUUGAAUUUAUUUUUUGUACCUUGUGUAUCAGAGUUAAAUUUAUUAAGAUUUAUAUAUUUUUAAUUUUCUCGAUUCUUUUAGAGUUAAUAAACUAUUUUAUUUAUUGUGAAAUAAAUAUUAAUAAUAAUUUAUUAGGAGUGAAAUAUUAAUCGUUAGAAGGGAUAUCUAGUUUUUUUGGAAAUAAAUUUAAUUUAAAUUUCUUUUUUAAUUAUUUUAUUUUUAAAAAAUUUUAAAUUGGAAUUAUUAAUAGUAGGGAUAAGCUUAUUAUUAAAUGUGUAUAUAGAAUAUAUGAUAAAAAAUUUGUGUGGGUUUAAUAAUGACUAUUAUUAUAAGUUUAUUAAAAUUUUAUUUUUUUAGGGAAUAAAUUUAUUAUUCCUUUACAUUUUUACUAAAAAUUUUUGAUUAAUUAUUAUUUAAUUUAAAUUAUGAUUAAAUUAGUAUAACAAUUUUAUAGGAUUUAUAUGUUGGUUAGUAAUUUUUAGGAAUUAGGCAAAAAUUAGUGUUUUCCGCCUGUUUAACAAAAACAUCUCUUCUUGAAUAGAAUAAGAGGUAUAACCUGCCCAAUGAAAAAUUUAAUGGCCGCGGUAUUUUGACCGUGCAAAGGUAGCAUAAUCAUUAGUCUUUUAAUUGGAGGCUGGAAUGAAUGGUUGAACGAGAUAAUAGCUUUCUUAAUUUUAUUAAUUUAGAAUUUAAUUUUUGAGUUAAAAAGCUUAAAUUUUUUUUUGGGACGAGAAGACCCUAUAGAGUUUAUAUAUUUAAUUGUUAUUAAAUAUGUUUUCAUAAUUAAUUAAUAAAUUUUAAUUAUUUUGUUGGGGUGAUGGAAAGAUAAUUGUAACUCUUUUUUAUAAAUUAAUUAUUUAUUUAUAUAUAAUUGAUCCACAAUUGGUGAAUGUAAGACUAAAUUACCUUAGGGAUAACAGUGUAAUCUUUUUUGAGAGUUCAUAUCGACAAGAAGGGUUGCGACCUCGAUGUUGAAUUAAGAAUAUCUUUAGGUGUAGAAGCUUAAAAGUUAGGUCUGUUCGACCUUUAAAUUCUUACAUGAUUUGAGUUCAGACCGGUGUAAGCCAGGUCGGUUUCUAUCUAAUAUGAAUUAAAAUAUUUUAGUACGAAAGGACCAAAUAUUUGGAAUAAUUUUAUAAUUAAUUGAUUAUUAUUAA